AGAGUUUGAUCCUGGCUCAGAUUGAACGCUGGCGGCAGGCCUAACACAUGCAAGUCGAACGGUAGCACAGAGAGCUUGCUCUCGGGUGACGAGUGGCGGACGGGUGAGUAAUGUCUGGGAAACUGCCUGAUGGAGGGGGAUAACUACUGGAAACGGUAGCUAAUACCGCAUAACGUCGAAAGAGCAAAGUGGGGGACCUUCGGGCCUCACGCUGUCGGAUGUGCCCAGAUGGGAUUAGCUAGUAGGUGGGGUAAUGGCUCACCUAGGCGACGAUCCCUAGCUGGUCUGAGAGGAUGACCAGCCACACUGGAACUGAGACACGGUCCAGACUCCUACGGGAGGCAGCAGUGGGGAAUAUUGCACAAUGGGCGCAAGCCUGAUGCAGCCAUGCCGCGUGUAUGAAGAAGGCCUUCGGGUUGUAAAGUACUUUCAGCGGGGAGGAAGGCGAUAAGGUUAAUAACCUUGUCGAUUGACGUUACCCGCAGAAGAAGCACCGGCUAACUCCGUGCCAGCAGCCGCGGUAAU
rnacentral:rRNA from 1 species